rnacentral:rRNA from 1 species
GGGUGGUAAUACCGGAUGCUCCGCUCCAUCGCAUGGUGGGGUGGGAAAUGCUUUUGCGGCAUGGGAUGGGGUCGCGUCCUAUCAGCUUGUUGGCGGGGUGAUGGCCCACCAAGGCGUUGACGGGUAGCCGGCCUGAGAGGGUGACCGGCCACAUUGGGACUGAGAUACGGCCCAGACUCCUACGGGAGGCAGCAGUGGGGAAUAUUGCACAAUGGGCGCAAGCCUGAUGCAGCGACGCCGCGUGCGGGAUGGAGGCCUUCGGGUUGUAAACCGCUUUUGUUCAAGGGCAAGGCACGGUUUCGGCCGUGUUGAGUGGAUUGUUCGAAUAAGCACCGGCUAACUACGUGCCAGCAGCCGCGGUAAUACGUAGGGUGCGAGCGUUAUCCGGAUUUAUUGGGCGUAAAGGGCUCGUAGGCGGUUCGUCGCGUCCGGUGUGAAAGUCCAUCGCCUAACGGUGGAUCUGCGCCGGGUACGGGCGGGCUGGAGUGCGGUAGGGGAGACUGGAAUUCCCGGUGUAACGGUGGAAUGUGUAGAUAUCGGAAAAAAACACCA